rnacentral:rRNA from 1 species
UCAGGCCUAACACAUGCAAGUCGAGCGGAAACGAGUUAUCUGAACCUUCGGGGAACGAUAACGGCGUCGAGCGGCGGACGGGUGAGUAAUGCCUAGGAAAUUGCCCUGAUGUGGGGGAUAACCAUUGGAAACGAUGGCUAAUACCGCAUAAUGCCUACGGGCCAAAGAGGGGGACCUUCGGGCCUCUCGCGUCAGGAUAUGCCUAGGUGGGAUUAGCUAGUUGGUGAGGUAAGGGCUCACCAAGGCGACGAUCCCUAGCUGGUCUGAGAGGAUGAUCAGCCACACUGGAACUGAGACACGGUCCAGACUCCUACGGGAGGCAGCAGUGGGGAAUAUUGCACAAUGGGCGCAAGCCUGAUGCAGCCAUGCCGCGUGUAUGAAGAAGGCCUUCGGGUUGUAAAGUACUUUCAGUCGUGAGGAAGGUAGUGUAGUUAAUAGCUGCAUUAUUUGACGUUAGCGACAGAAGAAGCACCGGCUAACUCCGUGCCAGCAGCCGCGGUAAUACGGAGGGUGCGAGCGUUAAUCGGAAUUACUGGGCGUAAAGCGCAUGCAGGUGGUUUGUUAAGUCAGAUGUGAAAGCCCGGGGCUCAACCUCGGAAUAGCAUUUGAAACUGGCAGACUAGAGUACUGUAGAGGGGGGUAGAAUUUCC